rnacentral:rRNA from 1 species
AUUGAACGCUGGCGGCAGGCCUAACACAUGCAAGUCGAGCGGAGCGGCGGACGGGUGAGUAAUGCCUAGGAAUCUGCCUGGUAGUGGGGGCUAACGUCCGGAAACGGGCGCUAAUACCGCAUACUAUCAGAUGAGCCUAGGUCGGAUUAGCUCGUUGGUGGGGUAAAGGCCUACCAAGGCGACGAUCCGUGACUGGUCUGAGAGGAGUAUCAGUCAAACUGGAACUGAGACACGGUCCAGACUCCGACGGUGGGCAGAGUGGGGGAAUAUUGGACAAUGGGCGAAAGCGUGAUCCAGCCAUGCCGCGUGUGUGAAGAAGGUCUUCGGAUUGUAAAGCACUUUAAGUUGGGAGGCGUUACCAGCAGAAGAAGCACCGGCUAACUUCGUGCCAGCAGCCGCGGUAAUUC